GCUGGGCGUGGUGGCGGGCGCCUGUAAUCCCAGCUACUCAGGAGGCUGAGGCAGGAGAAUUGCUUGAACCCGGGAAGUGGAGGUUGCAGUGAGCUGAGAUUGUGCCACUGCUCUCCAGCCUGGGUGACAGAGCAAGACUCUGUCUCAA
rnacentral:SRP_RNA from 1 species